rnacentral:rRNA from 1 species
CCUACGGGAGACUGCAGUGAGGAAUAUUGGUCAAUGGACGCAAGUCUGAACCAGCCAUGCCGCGUGCAGGAAGACGGCUCUAUGAGUUGUAACCUGCUUUUGUACGAGGGUAAACGCAGAUACGCGUAUCUGUCUGAAAGUAUCGUACGAAUAAGGAUCGGCUAACUCCGUGCCAGCAGCCGCGGUAAUACGGAGGAUUCAAGCGUUAUCCGGAUUUAUUGGGUUUAAAGGGUGCGUAGGCGGUCGGAUAAGUUAGAGGUGAAAUCCCGAGGCUCAACUUCGGAAUUGCCUCUGAUACUGUUCGGCUAGAGAGUAGGUGCGGUAGGCGGAAUGUAUGGUGUAGCGGUGAAAUGCUUAGAGAUCAUACAGAACACCGAUUGCGAAGGCAGCUUACCAAGCUACUUCUGACGUUGAGGCACGAAAGCGUGGGGAGCAAACAGGAUUAGAUACCCUUGUAGUC